UAUACUUGGACAAAGCGCUUGGAUGAGAACAAAAGUCCCUUAAAAGACUAGUCUGGAUGAGGACAAAAGUCCAUAAUGGAUGAGUCCAAAAGUCCCUUGGAUGAGCACAAAAGUUCUUAGUGAAUGAGUGCAAAAGUCCCAGAUAAGUAGCUACAGAACAGUCAGUCAGUACUGUUACAAAAUACCCAGUCAGCGGUAAAUAGGAGUGAAUGAGUCUGUUUGUGUUCUGUGUUUUGAGAAACGCUCAUUAAAAAACUCUAGUGAGUUUGCGAUCUCAAUUUUUUAUUUUAUCCAAUAAGGAUCACGUACAAACGGUGUUUUGAGUAAGCUCUGCCCGCAGUAAAUUAGUUACUGUAGAAGCUUGGUGGAGGAACUUCACUCAAUUUCACCUCAUGUUUGUGACAUCCUUAGAGGAACCCUCAUAGUGUAAAAUUAAAAAGUAUGGUAAUUAUCCAUUUUGUAUCUAAAGACGGAGAAAUAAAAACUAAAUAUUUCUGGACUCCUCCGUCAAUAAACUCUCUACUAGUAGAUUUACAAGUUGAAAUAUUUUAUGAGAGCGGUGGAAUAACAGUAAAUAACAGAGAAAUUAACCUAGAAACAGCAGAAGCAAUAGUUUUUAAAUUGGAGUGUUCUGACAUAGACAGAGAAGAUGGGGAGUAAAUCAUCGCAACCUUUAUCCAAGGACGGUCUGUUCAUGGAGAAAAAGCCUCCCUGGAGCAGGCCAGAUAAGCAUAAGAUGGAUAAGAAAACAUAAUUGCACUGGAAAACUGGACACUAAAGAUGUCCUGCGUCUCCAAGUCGAUCUAAAAACAGAAAUAUCUCAAAUAACGAAAAAGAAGAAAAAGGGCAAGAGAACAGAAGAAUAUGAAGCAAGUGACAAAUGGUUAGAAGAAUGUCUGCGAAGGGGUAAACAGAGACAGGAAAAGAAAACAAGGAAAAGGCAAUAAAAAUCGCAGCAGCUCUAGUGAAAACAGAUGAAGAAACAGCCGUGAAUAGGCAGAGAGCACAAACCAGAGUAGAAGAAAAUGAAGCUGCAGAUAAACAGGAGCCAAGGUCAAGUCCAAGCAGAGGAGUAAAACAAGACGAGACAGAGAAAAAACAGAGGGAGCUGACGGAGCGAGCUAGAACUCGUGCACAGGAGCGAGAGAGAAAAGGAAAAAGAAAAAUAAAGAAACUCAAAGAACCUAACCUAUAUCCACACAAUGACUUAGAACAAACGGUACGCCGUUUCAGACCAGGACAUGACAUUGACAAGGAUAUAGAGGACUGCGACGACUGCGGACCGACUCAUGUUACUGUAUGUCCACUUAUAGAAGUUGCAAACCCGAGGUUUGGCCAACCUACGGGCGAGCAAGACGACCGUGGUGGACCCAUUGUAGACGUACAACCAACAAUGCUGGUUUACAGACCUUGGAGUAAUCAUGACAGAAAGAAAGCCACAUCGGGUAUCCCACACCCAAAAGAUGGUCUGAACGAAUUUAUCAAUGGCAUGCAAGGACUUAGAGUGAGCUACAGAUUAAAUGGUACAGAACUACAACAGUGUUUACAGGACGUUCUGACCUCAGACUGGGGAAGAGUACGGGGAGACUAUAUAGGACUGGACACUAGAGGAAGCCCUCUAACAUAUGACAGCCCAGAUAUGCUCAAACAAAUAGCUGACCUUUUAGACAGGGUUCGCCUCGAGUGGCCAGUGAGGGUGGAUUAUGCAGCCAUAGGAGAAACCAAACAAAAAGAAGGAGAAUUGGCAGCAGAAUAUAAACACAGGUUGGAAAAAGUGUUUAGAGCCAAUUCAGGCAUCCAGUAGGAUGAAGCCGAGGGAUCUCCUUAUCAACAGCAAUUAAAAAUGCAUUUCUUAAAGGGAUUACUCCCACCAUUAAGAUACCAUGUGGAAAAACACUGGGCAGACCAAAACACAGGCUCAGUAACACAGGCUGUUAACCAAGCUACUCAUGCUGAAGGGGUACAGAAAAGAAAACAAACCCAAAGUUCAGUUUAUGUAACUGAAAACCUUGUAGCCUACAGCCACAGACAGAACUAUCCUAGGAGAAGAGGUAGAGGCCGUGGUAAAGGCCAUUUGCGUGGACAUUAUCAGACACGCACAGAAGACUCAGAUCAACAACAGAAAGAUCGUGAGCAAAAAUUGUGCUAUAUCUGUCACAAGCCAGGACACAUCGCGAGAGAGUGCAGACACAAACCCACACAAGUAUGACUAGUGGCUGAUGAUGACAGAAAACAGGUAGUAACACCUGUUUCAGAUAGGGAACAAGAAGUGCAGCUUGUGCAAAAUGCAACUACACUUGAAAAUAAGAAAACACAGCCCAGCUCAGCUGCACAAACAAGCUCACACACACAAGGUCACAUACAGAAAGAGCGAGAACAGAGUGAUACUGACACCCAGCUUGAUAUUUUCAGUAUGGUUAAAGCAGCGCAUGAUAAGGACUCACCCACU
ensembl:lncRNA